UGAUACCAGGGUCAAAAGGUCAUGCGUUUCAUGCUUGCAUGAAAAAGCAUGACUUUGGGACCCGAAAAACAUGAGAAAGUAGCCCGAGCAGGGCGGAUUUCGAAUGUUUUUAGGAUUGCGGGAGCACAAAGUGCGGAGCAAUCCGUAGGUAUCG
rnacentral:sRNA from 1 species